UACGUAGGGUCCGAGCGUUGUCCGGAUUUAUUGGGCGUAAAGAGCUCGUAGGCGGCUUGCUAAGUCAGGUGUGAAACCUCCAGGCUCAACCUGGAGCCGCCACCUGAUACUGGUAUGGCUAGAGUCCGGUAGGGGACCACGGAAUUCCGUGGUGUAGCGGUGAAAUGCGCAGAUAAUCAGGAGGAACACCGGUGGCGAAGGCGGCUUCUGGACAAAUGACCGACGUGAGGCACGAAAGCUAGGGGAGCAAACAG
rnacentral:rRNA from 1 species